rnacentral:rRNA from 1 species
CACGUAGGGGACGAGCGUUGUCCGGAUUCAUUGGGCGUAAAGCGCGCGUAGGCGGCUCGGAAAGUCGGUCGUGAAAUGCCGGGGCUCAACCCCGGGACUGCGUCCGAUACUCCCGAGCUGGAGGCAGGUAGGGGAGAUCGGAAUUCCUGGUGUAGCGGUGAAAUGCGCAGAUAUCAGGAGGAACACCGAUGGCGAAGGCAGGUCUCUGGGCCAUUACUGACACUGAGAAGCGAAAGCAUGGGGAGCGAACAGG